rnacentral:rRNA from 1 species
UACAGAGGUGGCAAGCGUUGUUCGGAAUUACUGGGCGUAAAGGGCGCGUAGGCGGCCAACUAAGUCAGACGUGAAAUCCCUCAGCUUAACUGGGGAACUGCGUCUGAUACUGGAUGGCUUGGAUUCGGGAGAGGAAUGCGGAAUUCCAGGUGUAGCGGUGAAAUGCGUAGAUAUCUGGAGGAACACCGGUGGCGAAGGCGGCAUUCUGGACCGACAUUGACGCUGAGGAGCGAAAGCCAGGGGAGCAAACGGG